rnacentral:tRNA from 1 species
UCCCUGGUGGUCUAGUGGCUAGGAGAGCUCUCAAAGCCCGGGUUCGAUUCCCGGUCAGGGAA